GGCCAGACUCCUACGGGAGGCAGCAGUGGGGAAUAUUGCACAAUGGGGGAAACCCUGAUGCAGCGACGCCGCGUGAGUGAAGAAGUAUUUCGGUAUGUAAAGCUCUAUCAGCAGGAAAGAAAAUGACGGUACCUGACUAAGAAGCCCCGGCUAACUACGUGCCAGCAGCCGCGGUAAUACGUAGGGGGCAAGCGUUAUCCGGAUUUACUGGGUGUAAAGGGAGCGUAGACGGUGAAGCAAGUCUGAAGUGAAAGGCGGGGGCUCAACCCCCGGACUGCUUUGGAAACUGUUUGACUGGAGUGCAGGAGAGGUAAGUGGAAUUCCUAGUGUAGCGGUGAAAUGCGUAGAUAUUAGGAGGAACACCAGUGGCGAAGGCGGCUUACUGGACUGUAACUGACGUUGAGGCUCGAAAGCGUGGGGAGCAAACAGGAUUAGAUACCCUCGUAAU
rnacentral:rRNA from 1 species